rnacentral:rRNA from 1 species
UACGUAGGCAGCGAGCGUUGUUCGGAGUUACUGGGCGUAAAGAGUGCGUAGGCGGUUUUCUAAGUUUGGUGUGAAAUCUCCCGGCUUAACUGGGAGGGUGCGCCGAAAACUGGAAGGCUUGAGUAUGGGAGAGGUAAGCGGAAUUCCUGGUGUAGCGGCGAAAUGCGUAGAUAUCAGGAGGAACACCUGCGGUGUAGACGGCUUACUGGACCAUAACUGACGCUGAGGCACGAAAGCGUGGGUAGCAAACAGG